GGAUGACGUCAAGUCAUCAUGGCCCUUACGACCAGGGCUACACACGUGCUACAAUGGCAUAUACAAAGAGAAGCGACCUCGCGAGAGCAAGCGGACCUCAUAAAGUAUGUCGUAGUCCGGAUUGGAGUCUGCAACUCGACUCCAUGAAGUCGGAAUCGCUAGUAAUCGUAGAUCAGAAUGCUACGGUGAAUACGUUCCCGGGCCUUGUACACACCGCCCGUCACACCAUGGGAGUGGGUUGCAAAAGAAGUAGGUAGCUUAACCUUCGGGAGGGCGCUUACCACUUUGUGAUUCAUGACUGGGGUGAAGUCGUAACAAGGUAACCGUAGGGGAACCUGCGGUUGGAUCACCUCCUU
rnacentral:rRNA from 1 species